rnacentral:rRNA from 1 species
AAAAACAUUGCUCUUUGAACUUAUAUAAAGAGUAUUUCCUGCCCAGUGAUAAUAUAUUUAUUAAACGGCCGCGGUAUCCUAACCGUGCAAAGGUAGCAUAAUCACUUGCUCAUUAAUUGUGGGCUAGAAUGAAUGGACUAACGAAAAUUGAAUCUGUCUCUUUCUACUAAAUAAAAAUUAAUCUUUAAGUGAAGAAGCUUAAAUAAGUUUGAAAGACAAGAAGACCCUAUAGAGCUUUAUUUUUAAAAAUGAAAUUUAUUUUUAUAUAAUUUGGUUGGGGCGACCCGGGAUUAAAUAAAUCAUCCCGCUACAUAAGAUAUCUUUAUCUAUAUUUAUGACCCUAAAUUUUAGAUCAUUAGAAUAAGCUACCUUAGGGAUAACAGGCUAAUUUUAUUUGAAAGUUCUUAUUAAAAAUAGAGUUUGGCACCUCGAUGUUGGCUUAGGGAUUCUUAAUAGCGCAAAAGUUAUAGAAGAGGGUUUGUUCAACCUUUAAUUCCCUACGUGAUCUG